rnacentral:rRNA from 1 species
UACGGGGGGGGCAAGCGUUGUUCGGAAUUACUGGGCGUAAAGGGCUCGUAGGUGGCCAACUAAGUCAUACGUGAAAUCCCUCAGCUUAACUGGGGAACUGCGUCUGAUACUGGAUGGCUUGAGUUCGGGAGAGGGAUGCGGAAUUCCAGGUGUAGCGGUGAAAUGCGUAGAUAUCUGGAGGAACACCGGUGGCGAAGGCGGCAUCCUGGACCGACACUGACGCUGAGGAGCGAAAGCCAGGGGAGCAAAGCGGG